GAUACGCAUAGGUCAUGUCGCACGUCCACGGACUUUGAUUUUAGCUACUUUCUUUGCUACAUUUGCUCGUGCAUCAGGAUACGCAUAGGUCAUGUCGCACGUCCACGGACUUUGAUUUUAGCUACUUUCUUUGCUACAUUUGCUCGUGCAUCAGGUUGCAUUUUCAAAACUAUGGAACGGUUGGAAUAGGAGAACCCAUGAGAAUUCGAGUAAUUAGCAAGCGUUAAAUUUCUAGAAGUCUUAGCUUAUAUGCUUCCGCUGUGCAAUGAAGAUACCGGUCCAGUCACGCCAGCUCUGAUAUUUCGGGGU